rnacentral:rRNA from 1 species
GAUGAACGCUGGCGGCGUGCCUAAUACAUGCAAGUCGAGCGAACGGACGAGAAGCUUGCUUCUCUGAUGUUAGCGGCGGACGGGUGAGUAACACGUGGAUAACCUACCUAUAAGACUGGGAUAACUUCGGGAAACCGGAGCUAAUACCGGAUAAUAUUUUGAACCGCAUGGUUCAAAAGUGAAAGACGGUCUUGCUGUCACUUAUAGAUGGAUCCGCGCUGCAUUAGCUAGUUGGUAAGGUAACGGCUUACCAAGGCGGCGACGGGUAGCCGGCCUGAGAGGGUGGACGGCCACAUUGGGACUGAGAUACGGCCCAGACUCCUACGGGAGGCAGCAGUGGGGAAUAUUGCACAAUGGGCGCAAGCCUGAUGCAGCGACGCCGCGUGGGGGAUGACGGCCUUCGGGUUGUAAACUCCUUUCGCUAGGGACGAAGCUUUUUGUGACGGUACCUAGAUAAGAAGCACCGGCUAACUACGUGCCAGCAGCCGCGGUAAUACGUAGGGUGCGAGCGUUGUCCGGAAUUACUGGGCGUAAAGGGCUCGUAGGUGGUUUGUCGCGUCGUCUGUGAAAUUCCGGGGCUUAACCCCGGGCGUGCAGGCGAUACGGGCAUAACUUGAGUACUGUAGGGGUAACUGGAAUUCCUGGUGUAGCGGUGAAAUGCGCAGAUAUCAGGAGGAACACCGAUGGCGAAGGCAGGUUACUGGGCAGUUACUGACGCUGAGGAGCGAAAGCAUGGGUAGCGAGCAGGAUUAGAUACCCUGGUAGUCCAUGCCGUAAACGGUGGGCGCUAGGUGUGAGGGUCUUUUCACGACUUUCGUGCCGUAGCUAACGCAUUAAGCGCCCCGCCUGGGGAGUACGGCCGCAAGGCUAAAACUCAAAGGAAUUGACGGGGGCCCGCACAAGCGGCGGAGCAUGUGGAUUAAUUCGAUGCAACGCGAAGAACCUUACCUGGGCUUGACAUACACCGGAUCGGGCUAGAGAUAGUCUUUCCCUUUGUGGCUGGUGUACAGGUGGUGCAUGGUUGUCGUCAGCUCGUGUCGUGAGAUGUUGGGUUAAGUCCCGCAACGAGCGCAACCCUUGUCUUAUGUUGCCAGCAUUUGGUUGGGGACUCAUGAGAGACUGCCGGGGUCAACUCGGAGGAAGGUGGGGAUGACGUCAAAUCAUCAUGCCCCUUAUGUCCAGGGCUUCACACAUGCUACAAUGGUCGGUACAACGCGCAGCGACACUGUGAGGUGGAGCGAAUCGCUGAAAGCCGGCCUUAGUUCGGAUUGGGGUCUGCAACUCGACCCCAUGAAGUCGGAGUCGCUAGUAAUCGCAGAUCAGCAACGCUGCGGUGAAUACGUUCCCGGGCCU